GUGCGGUGCUGGGUGACUCGGUCCGGUCCAAUGAACCCGAGGUGUCCAGGCUCUGCGCUGGGCGACUCGGUCAAAUCCAAUCAACUCGAAGUGUCUGGAUCAGUUGGAGGUUCUGUGACACUCACCUGUUCUUACACCACCAGCGAUACGUAUGUUUAUCUCUCUUGGUACCGUCAGUAUCCGAACCAAGCCCCGCAGUACAUUCUCCAGAGAGGAGCAAAAGGGAGCACGUUCAGUGAUACCGCAGAUUUCGCCCAGAAGAGGUUUUCUUCCCAGGCUAAUGACAGCGCCACAGCUCUGAACAUCGCAGCCCUGGAGCUGGCGGACAGCGCGGUGUAUCUCUGCGCCCUGCAGAGAGCACAGUGACAGAGCCGCACAGGAGAGCCGUACAAAAACCCUCCCUUCCCAGCUACAGAUAAUGCUGUGCAUAUUGAGGUUGGAAGCGGAGCCCCUCGGGCGUUUUCCUGUUAAAAACACAUAUUCUGGCUCCAGCGUGGUGCUGUCAGAUUACUCCUUCCUAGUCUCUCCAAACGGCCUGUAUUAAAAUAGUGGUUUCCAUAUGAGGAGAGAUGAAUAAAACUGGGACUUUUCAGCUCGAAAAAGAGUCGACUCAGGGGGGAUGUGAUAGAGGUCUAUAAAAUCAUGACUGGUGUGGAGAAAGUAAUUAAGGAAGUGUUAUUUAUUCCUUCCCAUAACACAAGAACCAGGGGUCACCCAGUUAAAUGAAUACAUAGCAGGUUUAAAACAAACAAAAGGAAGUAUUUCUUCACACAGCACACAGUCAACCUGAGGAACUCCUUGCCAGAGGGUGUUGUGAAGGCCAAGACUAUAACAGGGUUCAAAAAGGAACUAGUUGGAUGUUUGGUCUGAUCCAGUAUGGCUGCUCUUAUAUUUUUACCCCCUAUUACAUGAGGGCAAGAUUAAAGGCCCAAGCUGUAUAAAGGAAAGACUGGAUUAUUUGUUCUGGUUCUGGAUCAGAGGCAGUUAUGUCCCACAGGUCUUCCGGGGGGUACAUCAACUCCUCUAGAUAUUUGCCUAGUUUUAUAACAGGCUACAUAAAAGCACUAGCAAAGUCUGCACAAACUAUUUCAUAGGGACAAUGACUUGUUUCUACUGCUGUAUAUACUACACACCAAAAUGUAAAUAUGGUAUUUAUAUUCCAAUUGAUUUAUGUUAUCAUUCGUGGUAAAAAUAAAAAGUAAGAUUUUU